UACGGAGGGUGCAAGCGUUGUUCGGAAUUACUGGGCGUAAAGGGCGUGUAGGCGGCCGGGCAAGUCGGUUGUGAAAGCCCUGGGCUCAACCCAGGAAUUGCGACCGAAACUGCUCGGCUAGAGUCCCGGAGAGGAAGGCAGAAUUCCCAGUGUAGGGGUGAAAUCCGUAGAUAUUGGGAAGAAUACCAGAGGCGAAGGCGGCCUUCUGGACGGUGACUGACGCUGAGACGCGAAAGCGUGGGUAGCAAACAGG
rnacentral:rRNA from 1 species